rnacentral:lncRNA from 1 species
AGCUGCGGUGUACAUAUUUUCAGAUUAAUGAAGCUUAUAGCCCUCCAAUGCAGUAUCUGUAUGCUUUACAAAACUAUCCGAGUAUUGCAAAAUUGCAUGAUACAUCAAAUUGGAGCGUAGCCUACAUACUUAUGGACUGUGGACUUAUGUUGCUUAUUUAGAGGCUGCCGUACAUGGAUCAGGUAUGAUAUUGAUUGCAGAAAUUUCUAUACGACUCUUGCGGAUUUCAACCUUGUUCUUCUCCCUAAUUUAGGAAAACUACAAGUAUUUGGUGCAUGAUAUAAAAUAGCUGCAGGCUAAUCCUCCCCUAAUGUCCAUAAUGUUCUAUGGUACACAAUAUGGGUAAAGGAGAGCACAUUGCUCUAAUGUUUUUGCAUAUGAUAUUAAAUCAGACAUUUCAGUGGAUAAUAUAUGGUAUUGACUUGGACAUUGGUGUUGUGGAACAAUCUAGCAGGUAUUGGAUCUUAUAGAAUUAUAGAGUUGGCGGGGUCUGAAAAUCAUGGUGUUGGUGUUUUAGCCUAUUAAUCUGUAGAUAAAGAAAGUCCGUACAUCUCUACAAAUAAUCCUGAAGAAAGUUCUACUAUUGCGAACGCUCCAACUGAAUAAGAAAUAUGAUUUUUUUUAAUUGAAGAAGAAGCCAAUUUCUCGAGAAGGAAUACAGAAUAAUAUUUUGGAUUAUUUACUUGAGGUAUUUCCAUGACUUCAUUCUUUAUUUUCUCAUCCCUCAUUAUUGGUACUAUAUAAUGGCAAUUUGGGACGUUGCAACAUAAAGUUUGGGCAAACAUAUGUUGCUUAUUAGAUGGCCAUUUAGGAUGGAUCCGUGAUAAAUUGUGCAUUAUAAGUUGAUAUUUCUGAAUUUACUCUCUUUUAGCUCUGCUAGGAGUGGGAUUAAUCUUUAUUUUUAUUGAUUACUCCUUUUUAGUACAACCAAUAUUUUACUGAAUAAAAACUGUAACUCUAUUACUGAAGUGGUAGUUAGUGGAGUACAUAAUUGCACCACUGUACGACAGUGACCAUAACUCUAGAUUAUACGUAGGAUUGCAUCUUCACUGAAGUAGAGAUAUUUAGUCAUUUUCCGAUGUGAAUUAAGAUGACCAUAACUCUCACGUCGUAGUUAUGGUACCACCUCCUGUGUCAUUAAAGGAUACUUGUGUGAUUUACUAGCUGUUUUAGGUACCUCCUACAGUCCUACUUACUCGUGUGAUUUACUUGUCGUUUUAUAUAAGCAUGAUGCUCGUAUGUUUUGAUAUUUAUCGCUUUGCGUCAUAUGUGAAACAAGUAAUUUAAAUGAUUCCACCUAUUGUAAUUGCAUACUAGGUCUCAAAUUCAUCGCAUCAACCGUGAGGGGUAGUAUGCAAGGAUCAACCGAUGUGGAUAACAAAAUCUGGGUGCGAGCUUCCGGGAAAUCUAAUUGGGUCUAUGCAAACAAGCAGAUUUGGAAGAUAAUUCCUGUACAUGUAUGACUAUACGAACUCUUCUUCCCUCCAGGCAAUAGAGUUUAGCUUCAGUAAGCAAGUGCUAAGAUAACUUGCAUUCAUAACUCUGCUGCUGAUCAAGUCAAGUGUCUGUAUUUGGUGUUCAGGUUGAUUUGGAAAAUCUUUGACAGUAGCUGUGGGUCUUAUACUGAUGACAAUCAACAUGUCUUUUCCGACCAACCAGGGGUCGAUUCCAACAUAUGUUUUGUCCAUAUUUGAAGCCCAUUUUCUACUCAUUGAUCUGCUUCACUCCUCCACAAGGUGCGAUAUUAUUAUACCCCUGUUCCGUCCUACUGCGCACACGCAAUUGUGGUGAUCAGAAUGGAAUUAUAUUCGUGAUUCAUGAUCUCCACAUCGAAGGAACCGAAUGGAAACAAUAGCAUGACAAAACAAAUGAAUUUCUACCUAUAUUUCUACACAUUGUCCAGCCCCUUGUCUAGCUUGUUGAUUUUUAUUAGUUUCAGUUUCUCACUAGGUUCUCUUGAGCGAUGAGUCAUACUGGAUGUUCAAGGACACAGAAGGCUUCAUGAACCACAUUCUCUUGCUGAACUUUUUUUGGCAUCAUAACAACGAUUCCCAUGAUCUUUCUAUGGUAAAACCUUCAGUCUUGUUAAUCCCGUUAUCUUGAGUUAUGAUGGUAUAUGAAUUUUUUUUCCAUUGGAGCAACAAUGUCAUUCUUUUUUAGCCUGCAACUGUGAUGUUUCCAUUCAAGUUACUGAUUGCUGGAAUGCGGUUAUUUGAAGGCAUCUUAUGAUCUGGUCAUAACUAGCCAAAGCUCUGCAAUAUUAGUGUGUAAUCAUAUCCUCUUUCUCUCUGCUUGUGGGUAGUGCUUUACUGAUGGACGGUGUUGGCGCGUUUAGGGCAUAAUGACCUGAGCGGUAGAUCGUACGGUGAACAACGUCGACGGCAGCGCUAGAGCGCGGUGAGGCUGGUUGAGGUUUUCUCUAUGCUUCUUUUAAUUACCACAUGUAAUUUUAUUUGAGAUCUUUUCAUGGUUGCGCUGCUAAUUAAUAAUCUUAAUGAUGUAAUGUAAUUCGCAUAAUAU